CAGUAGCCACGGGAAUACGGAGGGUGCAAGCGUUAAUCGGAAUUACUGGGCGUAAAGCGCACGCAGGCGGUUUGUUAAGUCAGAUGUGAAAUCCCCGAGCUUAACUUGGGAAUUGCAUUUGAAACUGGCAAGCUAGAGUCUUGUAGAGGGGGGUAGAAUUCCAGGUGUAGCGGUGAAAUGCGUAGAGAUCUGGAGGAAUACCGGUGGCGAAGGCGGCCCCCUGGACAAGGACUGACGCUCAGGUGCGAAAGCGUGGGGAGCAAACAGGAUUAGAUACCCGCGUAGUCCCUGUCUCUUAUAC
rnacentral:rRNA from 1 species